UACGUAGGGUGCAAGCGUUAAUCGGAAUUACUGGGCGUAAAGCGCACGUAGGCGGACUAUUAAGUCAGGGGUGAAAUCCCGGGGCUCAACCCCGGAACUGCCUUUGAUACUGGUAGUCUCGAGUCCGGAAGAGGUGAGUGGAAUUCCGAGUGUAGAGGUGAAAUUCGUAGAUAUUCGGAAGAACACCAGUGGCGAAGGCGGCUCACUGGUCCGGUACUGACGCUGAGGUGCGAAAGCGUGGGGAGCAAACAGG
rnacentral:rRNA from 1 species